UGAUUGACAGUCUGGUUUGGAAUGAUUGACAGGUCCUAUGGAGGAGGCAGCAGAGAAUCUGCUCUCCUCGUUUGGAUUAAUUCUGAUAUAAUAACUGUUGGUUUAUUUAUUUAUUUAUGGAGCAGCAGAACAUUUUACACAGACAGUUUUCCUGCCCGUUUGCUUGUUUCAACCAGUUUUCUACCUUCGGCUGAUUCUACCAGCAGACACUGAAAGGACUCUGAUAGUUUGAGUGAAAGAAGCAGUUUCUCCUUAAGGUCAGAGAUUGCAGCAUCUGAGGGCCUCUUCAAAAGAAGAUGUAGUUGAUGAAGGCGUUCUGGAGCAGGACCAGAAAGACCACGACCAAGCAGCCUUGAGAUCUUAGGCAGUGUCUCCCUCAGGUCCCUCUCUAUCUCCCUACACAUCCACCAACCACUGGAACACAUCUCCAAAGUUCUGCCGGGCCAGCUCAGCUUCCCCUCAGAAGAAGUGCUGCCACCUGCCAGAUGAAGGAGCCUUUUGAGAGGCAGCUGGCAUCGUGAUUGGACUGUACUUUGGUUUGUUCCAAUCCAGCUUCAGCUCCAGAGACGGCAGGCGGGACGAGUCAGCGGAGGCCGGGUGGACGAAGGCAUGCAGCUGAGUACAAUCCAGAAAACAACAGAGGAGGAGUGCAGCAGCUCAGGGCCAGAACAAACAGAGUAGCAUCGUAUGUCUCUUAGAAAACAUCAUAGUAUAGCCUUUGGUAUGAAAAAAUGACAUAAUAUACAUUGUAUAUUGUACAAAAAACAAGUCAAAGGAAAGAGACAUACAUUGUAGAAUUGUAGUAAUUGUGGGCUGACUGAUUUACUGAUUAUCAGUAUUUUAUUUUUUACUGAUUUACGGUAAUAAAUACAUUUAAAAAUGGCGCUACUUUGGCUCUGAACCUUAAUCUACCUGUGGUCGCUCUGUCUUCUGGAGUGAUUUGAUUGGUUAUACGUCACAAAUAAAACUCCUUUAACUUAACAUCUGUAAACAAAACAAAAACGUAUCAACAAAGUUUCCUGUCAGUUUGUGUUCUUCUAAGUUUUUUAACUCCAAGAUUUUAAAUACUUUCAUUUACUGAAUAUCGACUCCAAAUGUCUCAGUUAUAAUCAUUAUCAGCCUUAAAAACCCACAAAACACCCCUCUAUACUCGACCACACUUAGUACAGUCCAGUUCCCCCUUCUAUAAAUCUGCUUGGAAUCGUCCACUUCCUGUUUGUCAAAGUGGCCUUCUACCUGGACAGGUUUUGUUGGAGCUCAUGCAACAAACAUUUUGGGUAACUGCACUUUAAUAUGGAUGGAUGACACUGAAUUAGAGUCUGUUUUCAUGAGACUGAGUUAAGAUGUGUAGCUCUGUCAUUAAAUAGGAAAUUAUUUCUCAGAAUUCACAGAGAAAAGUCUGAAAUGUUUGCUAGGUUAGCGUCCCACAUGUUCUUUAGCUCAGCUAAAGCUAACUCUCUCCAACUUCUGGAUCUCUUGAGUUGCUUGUUGUUAAAAUAUCUUGCUGUAGGUGCUGAAGCUCAGAAAGUCUGAGAUGUUUGUUCAAAAUAAGCUCAUUCUCAAGUCUUAUCUGAACUGUCCUCUUUUGUUUGAACUUUCCCUAAACUUAGGAGUUAAUGACAGAGCAGCACAUCCAGACUCAGUCUCAUUUAUGUAGAGAUUAAACUUCAGUGUCAUUCAUUGAUGUUAAAGUGCAGUUUUUCAAAUGUUUGUUGCACAUGCUCCCGACCAAACCAGUCCAGGUGGAAGACGAUGUGAAGAGAAAGCUCCAGAGGAUGAAUAUCACACAUUUACGUUGGAAAUAAAUGUCCUUUAAUUUGACAUUGUCAUGCAAAUGAUGUUGAAAUUUUUGAGUGUUUUGUUGAUAUUGGUUUCUAAAUGUUUUUUGACACUCGGCCCCAAAGAUUAAAACCUUCUACGGCUCACAAGCUGCAACAAUUCACACAUUAUCAACUGUCUUUCUGACUAAACUAAGAUUAAAAAGUGAAAAACUACCUGAUUCCUGCAUCAUGACUGUAAAUCUUUUUGGUUUUUAUGACAGUAAACUGGAUAUAUUUGGGUUUGACAUUUUAUAAACCAAAACAAGAAAUGAAUUACUGGAGAAAACGACAGAUUAAUGGACAAAGAAAAUGUGUUUUCCAACAUAUAUGGCUGAAUUACUCCAACAUAGAAGAUACAUACAAUUUUAGUUCAAUUUUAUUUAUAUAAUGCCAAUUACAGGUCAAAUUGUCUCAAGAUGCUUUAUUUUUAUAUUUUUUGUCAUAUUUAAAAUAUGACAAAGUAAGAACUUUAAACCUCUUGACUAAUCCAAUUUAUUAUUUAGUUUUUAAGAGACUAAUUGACAAUUCAAACUUUCGC